ensembl:lncRNA
GCAGCGGCAGGCAGCGCCAGCAGCCCGGCCCGGCCUCCACCUGGCUCCUUCCAGAGCCCCGAGUGAUGCUGCAGUGCUGCGUGAUGUCAGCGUGCCCUCUGCUUUCUUUUAUUUUCCUUCGUUUAACCCAAAGAUCUGGGGCCUGUGGCGUAACAGUUUAAAAACGGCGAGGUUUUUCUUCUUCUUCCUCCUUGCACGGAGUGUCUUUGCCUGUUUCUCUCUUUCCAUUUGGUACUCCAUGAGUUCUAAGAAAUUAGCAGAAUAUAAGGAGGCGGAAGGCUGCUGUCUGCUCUGUGCAAUACAACGCAUCACGUUCAGGAGCACGUACACCACAAAAGCAUGUUUUAAAGGCAAGGCAGCUGAAGUUGCGCUGUUUCAAACCACACGUGUUGCUCCCACAUCACAGUUUUCACUGAUCUUCAUGGUCGAGGAGAUGUGUUUGGCCAUCCUGAAUAGGUAGGGCAGCACUGGGACUAAAACCUUUUUUUUUUUUUUCCCCUGGGUUAUAUGAUGUGUUUCAAUCCUGGCAGCCUACGGCAGCCCGUCGUGUGUGGAGGUGGUGGCUGAGGAGCACACCAUGGGAAAACAGCCCGGAGGCACAGUCGGAAUGGUAGGGUCACACUGUAUCGCUGCAGUCGAUAGCGCUGCUCAGAUUUCACCUAUCGAUCGUUGUAGUUAAUCCGUAUUACCGAGCGCUGUAUGAACCAGGCAUAACGGCAAUGCCUGGAUAGAAGAUCCGCUUGUCUUACGGAUUUUGUGUUACCUCGGGUCUUAUUUGUCCCUGAUCCAUUUAAAGAUACAGUUUGUAUAAAAUAAACAUCGGUCUCCGAAUAUCUCAGUCUUUGCCGUUCUCCUGUUCAACUCUCAAGUGUUUCAGGAGCUGCGGUUGCUGCCUUACGCAGAACAGACAGCAGCACUGCAGGAGUACAGAAUGCUCCAACCUCUCGUGAGGGGAGCAGCGUGGGGGGAAUCGGAGCAACGUUUCACGCAGGGAUUUGGAGCAGGGAGCGCUGUGUUGGUGACCUCCCGUCCCGUGCUUCCCUUUUGCUUUUUUAUUUUGUUUGUUUGUUUUUUGUUUUGUUUUUAAUAUAUAUAUUUUUACUUUGCUUUCUUGCCUUCACAGCAGCGCUUUCCCCAUAGGUGUGCCGUGACUCCCCGAACCACGCACGCUGCCGGCUCAGCGCAGGGAGCGAGGCGGGGCCUGGCCCAUGGGCAGAGGCCGUGCCCGGGCCGUGAUCAUCGCUGCUGCCACCCCCUCAGCUCUUGGCCGCGUCCGAGGGCUCGGGGCCUCAUUCCGGGCACAUCGCGGUUAAACCGUCGGGGACCGAGGUUUUAUUUGUGCCCGCCUCGGAGCGCGACUCCGAGCUGUUGCAAAGGGCCAGACCCGGAGUAAAAGCACUUGGGGCAGUCGGACGGCGCUAUAAGGGCUCUCGUCCCGCCGGCGGCUCUUCUCAGGGACUGCUCUGCAGAUGCCCCGGCCGCGGUGAUCGGGGCUCACUGCAAUACCGCAUCUGCACCGCUCGCGGGGAACGAACGGGCGCUCUCAGCGCGCCGCAAAGCGCAGCCACCGCCGCGCGAACAGCGCCUACCGUCGCCUUGCGUUUCUGGCAGCGUAGCUUUGCUCUUAUGCUUUAACUUUCACGCCCCGCACCUCCAGGGUUCGCAUCUGUUUAUGUCAUCUCUGGAGCGUGGGGCAGGGAGCUGAGAAACGCAGCGAAGUCGGAGAGAGCUUCUCGUUGGUUAACGCCGGUCUUUAAGGUUAGGCUGCUAAGCCCCUGGUUAGGCCCCUGCUGGAAGGCUGCCUGCCCUCCCGCCGGGCCGCGUCUCGCACCGCGCGAGCAGUGGGGGAGCGCUGUGCGGGAGCGGGGCUGGCAGCCCAGCGUAGCGCUGCUCUGCGCUGUGUUGGCUGCCUCUGUUCCAGUGCCCUCCCGCUCUCCUUGUAACAGUGCACGUUAUACCCUCGGUAAGUAGAGGGUGGCUGGAAAUCGCAAUGGAGUUUCAAAUAAAUAAUAAUUUUCACGGCGCGCUGGUGAUUAAAUAUCACGGGUCAUUAACGCAGCUAAUGGGUCGUUGAUAAAACAAUUUAUCUGCGGCAUGAGUGAAAGCGGAAUAUUUCGGGGUGCUAAUUCCCUUGGAGCCUCUUUCCCCUCCCCUGGAUGAGCGGACCCACCGUCCCGCUGCCCCCGGCGGUAGCCGAGCUCCCCGCGAGAAGCGCAGCCCCGGAGGUUGGCGGAGAGGUCGGGAGGGUGCAGGUCUCGUCCCUGCGGCUGAGGUACCGCCCCGCUCUGUGCGAUUAGGGCUGAGCGGAGAGAGGGAAAGGAAAGCGGCUCUUUGUGGAAGCACCCAGCAGUCGUUCCCCCAGGGCCGCGUCCUGUUCCCGUAUAUGCCUGCACGAGUUUGGUCACUUUAUGCGCCCGUCAUCUUGUGCAGUGUUUUUUUCUUCUGGAAAUCCUACUGGAUGGUAAUAAGCACGGGCACAAAGCGAGGAAUGAAAGAAAAGUCCGAAUUAUGUGUGUGUAUAUAUAUAUAAAGUACUUGUAAGUAAAAAUACCGAAUUCUUCUUUUGCGAAAUCUCUGUUGUGAGAAAAGUUCAUUCGAAAUCAAUUAUUUCUGUUUAAAGAAAAUGAAUGACUACCGCAGUGUUGUUACCUACAGUGCUUCCUUCUCCAACUCUUGAGGUCAUACUUGGAGCAAUGCGCACACCCCGAUCGCGUACCGCUGCCCGGGUUUCAACAACUGCGGUGACGACCGACACUUCGUAUCCCUGAACUACACAAAUCGCAACGGAUUGGGAUUGUUACGGACGCGUCGCGCUGCGCUUCGCAGCGUGGGGAGAUCGGCUCCCCCUCCCUCUCCCUCUCCCCCCUAUUUGGCGUUCGGCUGCCAAUCCUCCGGCACCUACGGGCUUCCCCGAGAGGCAGCGACACUUUCAUAGAAUCACAGAAUCGUAGAAUCGCUAAGGUUGGAAAAGACCCACAGCAUCAUCCAGUCCAACCAUUCGCCCUUCACCAAUGGUUCUCGCUAAACCGUGUCCCUCAAGAGCUGGCUCUGUUACUUCCCAGACAUUUUUGGAUAAACUCCGGUGUGGUCUCGUAAUUAGUUCUGUAUUUAUAUGUUUAUGAUUUCCAACCGCUCGCUGAAGAGCAGCCCGUGAUAGCCGCACGUUUCCAGUCUAUAACUUUGAUCCGCUUCCCGGCGGGAGCUGUCAUCUCUAUUUCUUUCCCCGCAUUUUUCAGCCGCCUCCCAAUACUCCGCUUCCCUCCCUCAAGAAAGGGCGCUCAGCAAAGCGGGGACGCUGCUUUAGGAAACACUAACGCGAAGUACCAGCACAUUUGCUGCUGAUCUCCAGCUCUUAAUCUAUUGCCCAAAUAACAUCCCACGUUAUCUCCAGGACACGCGUUCGCUCUUCUGUCUCUUCCUGUGUCCCAUUAAUAGGACAAGCCCGCCUGCAUGCGACCCUUUCUACAUGUACUCAGCGACGGUGUGCUUUGGCUGGCUGAAGAGCAGCCCGCUGGGGACCCCGGAAUAGCAGAGCAGUGUCUCUGUGCAGCGGGCCAGGUGUGCGGUGCCGCCCGCGCGGUGAUAGCAGCAUUCUGCUGGCUCGUAUGAGAGAAAUCGUGUCCGUAUGUGGUAUUCUGUUUUUCUUUCCCUGCGUAAUGUGUCUCUGGAAGAAGUCUCAGCAUUUCAGCCGAAAUCCAUUUCCAAACAUCAUAAUCCGGAUUCAGAUGAGAAGUUGACUCGCAGAGUAUUCAGUGCUUGAAAUACAUGGGAAGCAAUUUAAAUGGCUAUCCGGUAACCCUUCCAUCUACUCUCUGAAGUAUGCUCAUGUAAAUACCACAAUGCAAGCAUUUCAGAAAGUACUCCCUACUUACACACUGAGGAGAAAAGAACACACAGGCCUGAAGGUCCAUAUCAGAUGGGAGCGUUAUCUAAUCUAGUUUUCAGAGCUCCCCCUAAUCUGGAUCAUCUGGGAUUAAUUCCCAGUGCUGUCAGGAAAGGAGUGCUUGGAGAGACUGGAUGCAGCAGAGGUGGUUGGUCAGGGUCUGACCAAUCAUUAUAUACCUGGUCUGGACAGUUCAGCUGCUGACUGCACUUUUUUGUAUGAUAUACUGAAAUGAAACUUUCCAGAUGAUAAAAAUAUGCUUUUGUAUGUGCUGAGUAAGUUACCAACAGCACAUGUAGUGUGUGCUUUGCGGAAAAAGAUAGGCUCUGUGUGUAAUAAUUCUCUUAGUUAUUGAUCAUUAGUAUUGUUUUUGCUUCCUUGUCACAGUAUUGCAAUGAGAUCUUUGCAUCAUGGCUGUGUUUGAUCACUUCGUGUUUCUAUGAACGUAGCAGAAUUCUGCAGGACAUGAUUUUGCAAGGGAACGUGGAAAAUGCAGUACUGAUUUUAAAAAGGUGAAUAGGUGAUAUUUUGAUUUCAUCAGCCAUCUUGAGUUUUUAAAUACUGUUUUAGGUAGAUCCAAACCCAAACAUUUUAGUAAUUUGUACUGUACUUUCUUCUGUAAAACGUUUCUGGUUGCUUCAAAAAUGAAAAUGGAAAGAGAUGGUGAUUUAUCCAGAUGAAUGGGAGUAGAUGGCAGUUCUCUUUAUUCCUGUUUUCCCCUGUCCUUCCAGUAGUGGUUCAGGGAGAAGCUACCAGGUGAACUAAAGGACAAAAUGAUCAAAUCUCAUCUUCAGUGAUUUUGGAACAGAAAGUGCAAAAUAAACAUGCCAGCCCAAAGGCAAAAGCCUGAACCUUUGCCCUGUGGGGUCAUGUUCUUGUUCAUCUUUUAUUGAAGUAAUAGAGCCAAAGGAUUUCCUUUACUGAGAAAAAUGUUCAGAUUUGUUUGCCAGAUUUUACAUGAGUUAAGGAUUGCUUUGAUUUAUGAAAACUGCAUUUUCAGUGAAUACGUUAUUAUCCAGGAAAAAUUCUCCAUGAUGAUACUGGUUCUCUGCAAGUCAAUGUUAAAUUGGCAACCUUGAUGUUUGGCAGCAGAAUUUAACUUUACUUAACACUUAUCAAGUUAUUAUAAAUGCCCCAUGUUGCAAAUUUUAUGAAGGUUUCACGUUUUCAAUUUAUUUAUUUUCUUUUUAGGCAGGAAAUGCAAAAGAUAGGCUUUUUUUUUUUUUUUUUUUUUUUUUUU